UUAGGCUUGCAACUUGUUCAGCAAAUACAAAAAUAUGACUUCUUCCAGAACGAGGGUAUGAUUGAAUAAUGAAAUACUUCUUAUUAAAUUAAAGUCAGGCGUCAUUUACAAAUAUAAGUGCAGUGUCUGCACCGCCACUUAUAUAGGUGAGACGUCGCGUCAUCGUAACAACUGGUAUUUGCUAGAGAUUAAAGAGAUUUUGUUCAUAAUGCAGGAUAGUCCCCAGUUGAAUAACAACAUUAGAUCUACUCCAUUGUAUUUAUACAAUUAGUAUUUAAUCUGUAACUAUGGUUACUGUUAAACUUGUAUAUACUUAGGAAAACUUUGUACUUCGUCGCAAAUAA